rnacentral:ncRNA from 1 species
CCCGCUGAAUUUAAGCAUAUAACUAAGCGGAGGAAAAGAAACUAGCGAGGAUUUCCCUAGUAACGGCGAGUGAAAAGAAAAAAGCCCAACGCUGAAUCCAAUACAUAUUAUAUGGCUAUAUGGAAAUGUAGCGUAUAGGUAUAACUAUCCGUAAAUAUUUUUACACCCAAAGUCCCCUUAAGCGGGGCUACAGUCCGUAGAAGGUGCUAGACCUGUACGGGUGAAAAAAGUUACGGUAGGUUAUUCCUUAGAGUCGGGUUGUUGGGUUAAUUAAAAGUAAUAAUUGUAUUUGCAUUGAUUUAUAUUUAUUAUUAUCAAAUAAUUUCCAU